GCGAGCAGAACAGCUAUGUGCUAGUUUUACACCAAACGCAAGUUUUAGCCACUGGGGGACCAUAGGCAGGCUAGGGGAACUCAUAUUUAUGUUAGAAAACCUCACAAAGUGAGAUUUUCAUGUCAUGGGACCUUUAAACUAGGCAAGGUUCCACGAAGCUUUGACAUAAUCCAGAGUGGUAGAUAUAACAGAGUGGCGACACUUCCAUUGGACUCCGUUGUAGCGCCUACUUCCGGGGUAUGGAGCCUCGAAUAGUUCCAAAAAACUAUUUUACGGCGUAGGAGAUCAUUCAUUUCCAUUGCUGGCCGUCGAGUAACUUCUGAGACGACCGAUUGCCUGCUGGUUUGUUAGCUCGACUUCGCCAUGUGAAGGGUGAUGUUCAGCACAUGAAGCCCUAUAGAUGCUGCCGCUUCAACAAUGCUGAUUAUGAUGGGUGGUGAAUUUAACCUUUGCCUUAUUAGGUCCUCCACAGUCACCCCAUCAGUCCCUGGCAGUCUAGUCCCUGGAUCACCUGCCCCUGGAUCACCUGCCCCUGGCAAAGUGGCCUCUUGAUUGCUCUCUCUGUCUCCUGUCAUGUCCUUUUCAUCGCUCUUGAAAUCCACCUCAAUUUCUCCCUCAAUCUCUCUAACAAUUACAAGGUAAUGUUGCUGUUAUAUGUAUUUUGCCUUUGCAUUUGCAACUACUGUCAUCUCCAAUGUAAGGCAAUGUAAGAAAAUUAAAUAAAGCGAAACAUUUCUGUAAUGUGAAUUAAAUCAUCUGCCACAAUAAGAAACCAAUAAAAUGUAUAAAUGGAUCUACCGGCAAUUGUAAAUUGGGUAGAAAUGUGUCGAUUAUCCACAUUGUGUUCAAAUCCUCAGAAUCCCUGACCUCUGGUUGUUUCUUAAACUGAAUGUACAAAUAUGAAUUAUGCAAUCUCAUUAGGAGUGUAGUCUAUCCUUGAAUUACAUGAAAUGGGGAAUAUUGUUAGCUGCAUGGAUCAUACCGAAGUUUAAUUUGGUGAAAUAUGUGUGGUCCGUUGCACUUGGUUCUGGAGGCCCCCUCACAGAAGGGCGUUUCCUCCUCUUCGGCUUAGGGCGAUGAAUGAAAACUGUUGGUACUGCAUAGGGCCUCAGCUUCAACAUCCCUUCUCUUUUUGUGGCAG
ensembl:lncRNA